UACGUAGGGUGCUAGCGUUGUUCGGAAUCAUUGGGCGUAAAGCGCGUGUAGGUGGCUGUGUAAGUCGGAUGUGAAAUCCCUGGGCUCAACCGAGGAAGUGCAUCCGAAACUACAUAGCUCGAGGACGGUAGAGGAAGGUGGAAUUCCAAGUGUAGAGGUGAAAUUCGUAGAUAUUUGGAGGAAUACCGGCGGCGAAGGCGGCCUUCUGGGCCGUUCCUGACACUGAGACGCGAAAGCGUGGGGAGCAAACAGG
rnacentral:rRNA from 1 species